UGAGCUACUGAAGGAAGGAACAACUGCAGGAACAAACAGAGGAAAAGAGAAGAAAAACUGGCUGAGGCACCACGGUAUCCAGACAGGGCACUGCUGGAAGGACUCCAGGAUGAAACACCACUCAAAAUGAGAUAAGAUGGUCCUGUCAACAAAAGAAGGAUGACAUAAGGUGCCAAUUCAAAUCAGCAGUUAAAAUGGCGGGAGGCUUGACAUUCGCAGAACCUUCAAGAACCAGUGUGGCUUCUAGAUCAAAUGCGGCUUCCAGAUCUAAUGUGUCAUCCAGAUCCAAUGUGGCUUCCAGAUCGAAUGUGUCAUCCAGAUCCAAUGUGGCUUCCAGAUCGAAUGUGUCAUCCAGAUCCAGUGUGGCAUCCAGAACAAGACUAAAAAGAAGAAGAAAACAGGCCCCUGCAAGGGGGAAGCUAGCUGCUUUUUUGCAUAAUAUACGAGACUUGUUUCCAUCUUCCAUUGGUAUAUUUACUGCAGUAACGCUGUGCCUGAUCCUAUUUUUUGCCGCACUCGGGACAACUAUUUUGUAUAUUCAGGGAUCAGGAACGUCAUCUGCUGUAGUAAAAGCAUUUAAGAACAUUAAGGAUUUUAUGAUAAAAAGGGAACCCUCUCUCAAAGGCAAGAAUGAAUGUGACCGUUCACUGGAUUUUUGGAAAGUGGCUUUUAAUAUACAUUGAUGGAUGUUUGAGAUCCCACUGGCUUGAAUUAUUCAAACCUUUUAGAUGCUGAAAUAUUUCGUGAAACUCAGAAGUUAGCAGACAAACUGGUUGACUUGAUCAUCAAUGUGACUGAAAUAGAAGAUGAAAUUGAGGAUAUUAGUAAAAAGCUUCGUCAGCAAUGGGUGCCGUACAAGGAAGUCUUAUAUUUAUUUGAAGACAGAACGAAGCCGUGGCACAAAGCAAUAACAGCUUGUGAGGAUGAAAAAUCCAUGCUGAUUACUAUUGGAAGUCUUGAAGAGGAGGAGUUUCUAGAAAGAGAAACCAAUACUGCACAUCAAGACUCGUGGAUUGGUCUUCCUUACAAGGAUGGGAAAUGGCAAUGGUAUAACGGUAUUAAUGUUGGAACCACUUACUGGAAGGCAGGUAUGCCGCAUGAUUUAGAUAACAAACGCUGUGCCAUCCUAAAAGCACAUUGCUCUACCCCCCAAAAAUGCUGGGAAAACAUUCCCUGUGAUAGACAAAAAAGAUGGAUAUGUAAGAAGAUGCCUGAUAAAAGGUGGUACACGUUAAACCCUUGAUGAAACUGGAUUGCAUGAGCUCUAUGCUAAAAACAGACAGUGGAUCGAUCCCCGCUUUUAAAAGUCAGCUGUCCGGGUUAUGGAAUCAGGGCAUGGGAGAGCUCAACCCUCUGCUGUCAACAAUCAAAAGCACCUUGUCAGUAUUCCUUCCUCAGGACUGGAAGAAGAGAUCUUAUUUUGCAACCUCAAAGACUUGGACCACAUGGAAGAAUUCAGUCCUAACUAGCUUCUGUACUUCCAAUAAAUUAAUUUAGUAUAAUGUUA